rnacentral:rRNA from 1 species
AAUGAACGUUGGCGGCGUGGAUUAGGCAUGCAAGUCGAGCGAGAACCCCGCAAGGGGGGACAGCGGCAAACGGGGUAGUAAUGUGUCGGAACGUGCCCUCUGGACGGGGAUAGCGGCGGGAAACUGCCGGUAAUACCCGAUGAUCUCGAGAGAGCAAAGGUGUGAUUCCGCCGGAGGAGCGGCCGACAUGGUAUUAGCUAGUUGGCGGGGUAACGGCCCACCAAGGCUGUGAUGCCUAGGGGAUGGGAGAGCAUGAUCCCAACCAUUGGGACUGAGACACUGCCCAGACACCUACGGGUGGCUGCAGUCGAGAAUCUUCGUCAAUGGGCGAAAGCCUGAACGAGCGACGCCGCGUGCGGGAUGAAGGCCCUUGGGUUGUAAACCGCUGUCGAGGGGGAUGAAGGUCUUCAGGUACUCCUGAAGAUUUGACAGAGCCCUGGAGGAAGCACGGGCUAAGUUCGUGCCAGCCGCCGCCGUAAGAC